UAUGUACUGUUCUAAUGCAGUGUUCAUAGACAUCUUUGUUCGAGGUCGGUCUGAGGAUUAGCUUGGGUGGAAGGAAGAAGAAGAAGAAAAUGAGCCCCAAAAAAGUUGACAGAGCUUCCAUUGUUGUUCUCCUGCUCAUCGUGCUUUCGGUUUGUGCCGCAGGAGGAAGGGAGCUGGCGGAACAAAAGCUACAAAAGGACUUCUACAGUGCUGCAUCCAAAGAGGGAGCAACAGUUUCGAGCAACCAUCCAAGGAACCUCAUGGUUAAGACGAACGACUACGGCCGCUACGACCCUGCUCCAGCUUUUUCCAAGCCUCGCUUCAAGCUUAUACCCAAUUGAACUGCGUCCUGGCUAGCUGCUGCUUUGCUCCUGCGCACAACAAAGAUGGUUCAGCUAAUUAACAACAUAUAUAGAAUAUAGUUAGAAGAGACUUGAGGAGUAAUGCUAUACACAUAUAUGUUUUUCUGUGAUGUAUUUCGAUCAUAGAUAUUAUAGGUAAUGUAUAAUGUACUGUAGUAAUAUUUCAAGAUAGGAGCACCAGCUCGGAGCAGCUUACUAGAAUCUGUGUAGGGCUGAACCCUGAAUGUCACUUGGGGCUUGAAUCUGCUCAUAGAGAAGGUUACAAAUAUAGUGCUGGAAUGCAACGGGGAGCAGUGGUUGUAAGGAAGAAUGGGAUAAAUAUACUUAGUUGUAUGAAUCAUCAACAUGGGUGUGUUAUAUACACACUUUACAAGCACCCUUUUGGGUGUUGAAAAA